rnacentral:rRNA from 1 species
AUUGAACGCUGGCGGCAGGCCUAACACAUGCAAGUCGAACGGUAGCACAGAGAGCUUGCUCUCGGGUGACGAGUGGCGGACGGGUGAGUAACGUCUGGGAAACUGCCCGAUGGAGGGGGAUAACUACUGGAAACGGUAGCUAAUACCGCAUAACGUCGCAAGACCAAAGUGGGGGACCUUCGGGCCUCACACCAUCGGAUGUGCCCAGAUGGGGUUAGCUAGUAGGUGGGGUAAUGGCUCACCUAGGCGACGAUCCCUAGCUGGUCUGAGAGGAUGACCAGCCACACUGGAACUGAGACACGGUCCAGACUCCUACGGGAGGCAGCAGUGGGGAAUAUUGCACAAUGGGCGCAAGCCUGAUGCAGCCAUGCCGCGUGUAUGAAGAAGGCCUUCGGGUUGUAAAGGACUCUCUGCGGGGAGGAAGGCGGUGAAGUUAACAGCUUCACCGAUUGACGUUGCCCGCAGAAGAAGCACCGGAUAACUCCGUGCCAGCCGCCGCGGUAA